rnacentral:lncRNA from 10 species
CUUGGCCCUGCCUCUUCCUGUGGAACCUGGGAUUCAAAGGGUGGGCCGGAAGUGCUCUAGCCAGGGGACUCUGGCCUUAUGGAGGAUCCCUGUUUCCUCCUUUUUUUUUUUUAAACCCUUUUCACCUAAUAAAACCCUGCUUUUCUCACCCUUUAAACUGUCUAUGAGCCUAAAUUUUCAUGGCCGUGGGACAGACAAGAACCCCAUCUUUGCUAAACCAAGGAAAAGUCCUGCAACAUUUUUGGCACGCAGAGUGGGGGCUGGAGAGGAGGUUAACAUCAGAUUUGUCUUUUGAAAGAGCAUCUCUCAACCUAGUGUGUCUGGAAUUGGUGGGUUCUUGGUCUCGC